rnacentral:lncRNA from 1 species
GAUAUAAAAACUGUUCUUAAUGGUGCGUUUGUUUGUCUUUGAAGAGUAUUGGUGUACCGGACUGAUACAAAAAUAAUACUAAAAGCAGGGUCAUCUGUGACAAACUUUGAGGAUAAGGUUAGGACUGUAAUUCCUGAUUUACCUUGGGGUGAACUCUGCAGCCUCAGAUUAUGAUUAACUGCUGGCAUCUUCAAAUUUCCACCCCCAGGCCAGGUGUGGUAGCAAACCCCUGUAAUCCCAGCACUUGGGAGGCUGAGGCAAGAGGAUCAUCGUGAGUUCCAGGCCAGCUUGGGCUACGUAGUGAGUGCAAGGCCAGCCUGAACUACACAGGGAGGCCCUGUCCCUAAAACAAAACAAAACAAAACAAAACAAAGCAAAACAAAAACAAACAAAUCACUACUUCCAACACACAUCCCACCCUGGAACCCAGAACAGACAGACAGUUGGGUUGGCUCAGCUGGAGGCUGUGAUGCUAGGCAGGAGGAUACACAGUGUGACAGAACUGAGAACACAAGCGGACCACAGAUGGGCUGAACUGGUAAAGCAGUCCCUACCUUACUGCUGCGGGGAGAACAGAGAUACAGAGGACAAGGAAGAGGCCAGCGGGCGUCCUGUGGUCUUCAGAGGAGAGGAACCGGAAGCAGGCAAUGCUGGCAUCCUGACGCCCCCAUCCCACGCUGGGACACAGGGGGCGGCGCAGCUUCCAAGCUUGGGGAGCAGGGAGAGGCGGGGCCGCGAGGGGAACAGUGAGCAUUGUGACGGGGCCACAGGAGCUGGGGUCCAGGGGUCCCCCUUGCGGGCCGCGGGAGGCGCCAGGGGCGCGGGCUCUGGACACGUGAGUGCCGCGCGUCCAGGACGAGGAGCCCGCCCAGGUCUACCCCGAAGGACCAAGACAUCCACACCCUUCAGAAAUCACUGCCAGACAGUCUGCAGAUGA